rnacentral:rRNA from 1 species
GACGAACGCUGGCGGCGUGCUUAACACAUGCAAGUCGAGCGGUAAGGCCCUUUCGGGGGUACACGAGCGGCGAACGGGUGAGUAACACGUGGGUGACCUGCCCUUAGCUCUGGGAUAAGCCUGGGAAACUGGGUCUAAUACCGGAUAUGACUCCAUGACGCAUGUUGUGGGGUGGAAAGCCUUGUGCGGCUAGGGGAUGGGCCCGCGGCCUAUCAGCUUGUUGGUGGGGUGAUGGCCACCAAGGCGACGACGGGUAGCCGGCCUGAGAGGGCGACCGGCCACACUGGGACUGAGACACGGCCCAGACUCCUACGGGAGGCAGCAGUGGGGAAUCUUGCGCAAUGGGCGAAAGCCUGACGCAGCGACGCCGCGUGGGGAUGAC